UGUAAUUAAGAUCAAGCUUAAGGCCCUUUUAUUAAAACAAAACAAGUCUUUACAAACCGGGCCCAAAAUUGACCCGGCCCACCAUAAAAAAGGCAACAAACAAAAGAAAAUAACAAAAGGAAAAUGAAAGAACUUUCUGGACCCUCAAAUUAGGAAAGUAACGUCUCUACCAUUGUUCCUUCUUCGUCCUUAAAUCAAAUGUGCCUCCUCCGCUUGAUGUAGCUACUGUUAUGACGGUCUCAAUUAGCAUGUGAGUUCCAUUUCAGAUUGUAGCUCCCGUCUUUCAGAUCUUCUCAAAGAUAAACAUAGUAUCUUCUACUAUUCUUUCAAUUCUAGCUAUUGCUAUGCAAUAGCUUGAAACCUUAAUUGGUACUUAAAGUUUUGAUUAAUCUGCUAAUAGGAGCAUUUGUACUUCUGAAAUGGACAUCCUUAUUUCGAUUUGGAUUUGCGGUGAACAAGAUUCUGUUGCGUCGUUAUGUCGGGUUCAAAUUUUUCAUUGAUUGGAAUGAGUCACUGUCGAUCUAGACUUAUUAUACAUUAAAUUUUGGGAGAUGUAAUAAUCAGGAUUUCUAUAUUUAUCUAUUUAAAUUUGAGACUUAUUAUUC